rnacentral:rRNA from 6 species
AAAUUGAAGAGUUUGAUCAUGGCUCAGAUUGAACGCUGGCGGCAGGCCUAACACAUGCAAGUCGAACGGUAACAGGAAGCAGCUUGCUGCUUCGCUGACGAGUGGCGGACGGGUGAGUAAUGUCUGGGAAACUGCCUGAUGGAGGGGGAUAACUACUGGAAACGGUGGCUAAUACCGCAUAACGUCGCAAGACCAAAGAGGGGGACCUUCGGGCCUCUUGCCAUCAGAUGUGCCCAGAUGGGAUUAGCUUGUUGGUGAGGUAACGGCUCACCAAGGCAACGAUCCCUAGCUGGUCUGAGAGGAUGACCAGCCACACUGGAACUGAGACACGGUCCAGACUCCUACGGGAGGCAGCAGUGGGGAAUAUUGCACAAUGGGCGCAAGCCUGAUGCAGCCAUGCCGCGUGUAUGAAGAAGGCCUUCGGGUUGUAAAGUACUUUCAGCGGGGAGGAAGGUGUUGUGGUUAAUAACC